rnacentral:tRNA from 1 species
GGAGAGUGUUACCCGUCGGACGGGGCGAGGGCUGAUACCCCUCAGAGCGCCGGGCUAGCCCCCGGCGUUGCGGUUCGACUCCGCCACUCUCCGCCA